CAGGUCCUUAUAGUACCAUAUGGUGGAGCUACAUCUAUUGAGGGCCACACUUUGUCUCCUAAUGGAGGUGUUUGCAUCGACAUGACCUUAAUGAAGAGAGUUAAGGCGUUGCAUAUUUGGGACAUGGAUGUUGUAGCUGAGCCUGGAAUUGGAUGGAUGGAACUUAAUGAAUACUUGGAGCCUUAUGGUUUAUUUUUCCCUCUUGAUCCAGGGCCUGGUGCAACAAUAGGAGGCAUG